AACGAACGCUGGCGGCAUGCCUAACACAUGCAAGUCGAACGAGACCUUCGGGUCUAGUGGCGCACGGGUGCGUAACGCGUGGGAACCUGCCCUUAGGUUCGGAAUAACUCCCCGAAAGGGGUGCUAAUACCGGAUAAUGUCUUCGGACCAAAGAUUUAUCGCCUUUGGAUGGGCCCGCGUUGGAUUAGCUAGUUGGUAGGGUAAAAGCCUACCAAGGCGACGAUCCAUAGCUGGUCUGAGAGGAUGAUCAGCCACACUGGGACUGAGACACGGCCCAGACUCCUACGGGAGGCAGAGGGGGGAAAUAUUGAAAAAGGGGCAAAGGCUUGACCCAGCAAUGCGGGGGGAGGAUAAAAGGCUUUGGGGUUGAAAAGCUUUUUUACCGGGGAGGAAAAGAACAGUACGGGAAAAAUAAGCCCCGGCUAACCCGGUC
rnacentral:rRNA from 1 species